UACGGAGGGGGCUAGCGUUGUUCGGAAUUACUGGGCGUAAAGCGCACGUAGGCGGACCGUCAAGUUGGGGGUGAAAUCCCGGGGCUCAACCCCGGAACUGCCUCCAAAACUGCUGGUCUGGAGGUCGAGAGAGGUGAGUGGAAUUCCGAGUGUAGAGGUGAAAUUCGUAGAUAUUCGGAGGAACACCAGUGGCGAAGGCGGCUCACUGGCUCGAUACUGACGCUGAGGUGCGAAAGCGUGGGGAGCAAACAGG
rnacentral:rRNA from 1 species